AACCGGAUUAGAUACCCUGGUAGUCCAUGCCGUAAACGAUGAAUACUAAGUGUUGGAGGGUUUCCGCCCUUCAGUGCUGCAGCUAACGCAUUAAGUAUUCCGCCUGGGGAGUACGACCGCAAGGUUGAAACUCAAAGGAAUUGACGGGGGCCCGCACAAGCGGUGGAGCAUGUGGUUUAAUUCGAAGCAACGCGAAGAACCUUACCAGGUCUUGACAUCUUCUGCCAGGCUGAGAGAUCAGCUGUUCCCUUCGGGGACAGAAUGACAGGUGGUGCAUGGUUGUCGUCAGCUCGUGUCGUGAGAUGUUGGGUUAAGUCCCGCAACGAGCGCAACCCUUAUGUUCAGUUGCCAGCAUUCAGUUGGGCACUCUGGACAGACUGCCGGUGACAAACCGGAGGAAGGCGGGGAUGACGUCAAAUCAUCAUGCCCCUUAUGACCUGGGCUACACACGUGCUACAAUGGGUGGUACAACGAGCAGCGAGACCGCGAGGUCAAGCGAAUCUCUAAAAACCAUCCUCAGUUCGGAUUGCAGGCUGCAACUCGCCUGCAUGAAGCUGGAAUCGCUAGUAAUCGCGGAUCAGCACGCCGCGGUGAAUACGUUCCCGGGGCCUUGUACACACCGCCCGUCACACCAUGAGAGUUUGUAACACCCAAAGCCGGUGGGACAACCGUAAGGAGUCAGCCGUCUAANGNGGGGACAAAUGAUUAGGGUGAAGUCGUAACAAGGUAACC
rnacentral:rRNA from 1 species